AGCAUCGUGGCGCAGCGGCUAGCGCGAUGGGCUCAUAACCCAUAGGUCGUUGGAUCGAAACCAACCGAUGCUA
rnacentral:tRNA from 1 species